CUAUAGACUACACGGUAAAUAUUUUAGUUGGAUAACUGAGGUAAUUCUUGAGCUAAUACACGCUAUUUAUACCACAUUAGUGGUGCGUUUAUUUGAUUAAACCAUUUUUAUAUUGGUUGACUCAAAAUAUCCUCGCUGAUUUUGUUACUAAAACAUACCGUAUGUGUAUCUGGUUUAUCAACUUUCGAUGGUAGGGUAUUGGCCUACCAUGGUUGUGACGGAUAACGGAGAAUUAGGGUUCGACUCCGGAGAGGGAGCCUGAGAAACGGCUACCACAUCCAAGGAAGGCAGCAGGCGCGAAAAUUACCCAAUUUUAGUUAAAAGAGGUAGUGACGAAAAAUGACAACCAAAUAUUAUUAUUAAUAUUUGGAUUGAAAAUCUUCAAGUAUAAAUAACUUGUUGGUAAAGGAAAGGGCAAGUCUGGUGCCAGCAGCCGCGGUAAUACCAGCUUUCCAAGUGCAUAAAAUGAUUGUUGUGGUUAAAAAGCUCGUAGUUGGAUUAUAAAGAUUGUAUAAUGAGCAUCUUGGAUGUUAUUUAAUCAUUAUCAUCUUAUAUUUUUAUUAUAUUAGAAAUAAUAUAAUAACUGUUACUUUGAAUAAAUCAGAGGGUUUAAACCAGACAUUAUAUGUUUGUAUGGUCUAGCAUGGAAUAACACUAUAGAAAAAUUUAGUGUGGUUUCACUUAAUUUUUCAUGAUUAAUAGGAACAAACGG
rnacentral:rRNA from 1 species